rnacentral:rRNA from 1 species
CAACCUACCUUUUAGUUUGGGAUAGCCCUGCGAAAGCAGGAUUAAUACCGAAUGUGGACACAACACGACAUCGUGAUGUGUGUAAAGCAGUAAUGCGCUAAUAGAUGGGCUCGCGGCCUAUUAGCUUGUUGGUGGGGUAACGGCCUACCAAGGCGGUGAUGGGUAGCUGGUCUGAGAGGACGAUCAGCCACACUGGGACUGCGACACGGCCCAG